rnacentral:lncRNA from 1 species
CUUUCGGUGGAGAAUCGAAGAAGAAGAGGAUUCGAUGCCGUUAUCUGCCUCCUGGACGAAGUGCUUCUUCGAACGAAGAAGGACCGGGCCACCCCAGGUUGCAAGCCGUUCGCGCAUCUCCCAUCCGUCUCUUUCUUUUUCUUGGAUGGCUUGUCGCCGGUGGGGGAUUUCAUCGGAUUAUUGGUCGACGGGGACGGUCGUGUCCUCCUGCCGCCAGUGUU